rnacentral:rRNA from 1 species
UGGCGAACGGGUGAGUAACACGUGGGUGAUCUGCCUUGCACUUCGGGAUAAGCCUGGGAAACUGGGUCUAAUACCAGAUAGGACCACGUCUUGGAUGGUGUGGUGGAAAGUUUUUUCGGUGUGGGAUGAGCUCGCGGCCUAUCAGCUUGUUGGUGGGGUAAUGGCCUACCAAGGCGUCGACGGGUAGCCGGCCUGAGAGGGUGUACGGCCACAUUGUGACUGAGAUACGGCCCAG